rnacentral:misc_RNA from 1 species
AACUGAUACUACCUGCGGGAACCUGCGGAGGGAUCAUUACAGAGUUGCAAAACUCCCAAACCAUUGUGAACGUUACCUUUACCGUUGCUUCGGCGGGCGGCCCGGGUCCUGCCCGGCGCCCCUCGGCCCUCGCGGGCGCCCGCCGGAGGAAAACCAAACUAUUGCAUUGUAUGGCCUCUCUGAGUCUUCUGUACUGAAUAAGUCAAAACUUUCAACAACGGAUCUCUAGAUCGGAAGAGC